rnacentral:rRNA from 1 species
UACAGAGGUCCCAAGCGUUGUUCGGAUUCACUGGGCGUAAAGGGUGCGUAGGCGGUCGGGUAAGUCUGACGUGAAAUCUCCGGGCCUAACCCGGAAACUGCGUCGGAUACUAUCCGGCUAGAGGAUUGGAAGGGAGACUGGAAUACUUGGUGUAGCAGUGAAAUGCGUAGAUAUCAAGUGGAACACCAGUGGCGAAGGCGAGUCUCUGGACAAUUCCUGACGCUGAGGCACAAAAGCCAGGGAAGCAAACGGG